AACGCCGCGUGAGUGAAGAAGGAUUUCGGUUCGUAAAACUCUGUUGUAAGGGAAGAACAAGUACAGUAGUAACUGGCUGUACCUUGACGGUACCUUAUUAGAAAGCCACGGCUAACUACGUGCCAGCACCUUCGGUGACUGAGCGGGCUGGCAAGGCGCAUA
rnacentral:rRNA from 1 species